rnacentral:rRNA from 1 species
AUAACCUGCCCUUGGGACCGGCAUAACCCCGGGAAACUGGGGAUAAUUCCGGAUAACGCAUAUUUGCUGGAAUGCUUUAUGCGUCAAAAGGAUUCGUCUGCCCAAGGAUGGGUCUGCGGCCUAUCAGGUAGUAGUGGGUGUAAUGUACCUACUAGCCAGCGACGGGUACGGGCCGUGAGAGCAAGAGCCCGGAGAUGGAUUCUGAGACAUGAAUCCAGGCCCUACGGGGCGCAGCAGGCGCGAAAACUUUACAAUGCGGGAAACCGUGAUAAGGGGACACCGAGUGCCAGCAUCAUAUGCUGGCUGUCCGGAUGUGUAAAAUACAUCCGUUAGCAAGGGCCGGGCAAGACCGGUGCCAGCCGCCGCGGUAACACCGGCGGCCCGAGUGGUGAUCGUGAUUAUUGGGUCUAAAGGGUCCGUAGCCGGUUUGGUCAGUCCUCCGGGAAAUCUGAUAGCUCAACUAUUAGGCUUUCGGGGGAUACUGCCAGACUUGGAACCGGGAGAGGUAAGAGGUACUACAGGGGUAGGAGUGAAAUCUUGUAAUCCCUGUGGGACCACCUGUGGCGAAGGCGUCUUACCAGAACGGGUUCGACGGUGAGGGACGAAAGCUGGGGGCACGAACCGGAUUAGAUACCCGGGUAGUCCCAGCCGUAAACGAUGCUCGCUAGGUGUCAGGCAUGGCGCGACCGUGUCUGGUGCCGCAGGGAAGCCGUGAAGCGAGCCACCUGGGAAGUACGGCCGCAAGGCUGAAACUUAAAGGAAUUGGCGGGGGAGCACAACAACGGGUGGAGCCUGCGG